UCAAGAAAACAAUGUCCUAGGAUUAUUGUACUUUCAAGCAGUUUCAUUGGUUACCCUGCAACAUCUGCCUUAAAGUUUCAAACUAGGUCGUAGUAACUUUAUAAAGCGAACUAAUAUCGUUUCAAUCCUUUGAAACGAAACAAAAAUCGACUAAUAAAACAUUUACGAAUACUUUUAUAAAGCGUUUGAUUAGUGAAAAUUAACUUGAAAUUAUCUUUACCUAAUUAAUUCUCUAAUGACGAAAACACUUUAUCUGUGAAUUUAUCAUUGAUAAAAAAUUUUAACAAAAUAAUAAAAAAGUUUUCAAAAGUUUUAUUAUAUAUAUAUUAUAAUUUUUUAUAGAUGAAGAAAUUAUUUAAUAAAAAAAAUAAUUACUCUUUUCAACUUUAGAAAUUUAUAAAAUUGUGUUUAUAACCUAUAAUUUGCUCAUCAAUUCUUUAAUAUUAUUACUUAGUAAAUUACCACGCAAGAUGGCACUAGUAUUCUAAUAUUUAUAUAUUGCACUACCCCACGAGAUUAAAUAAUUAUAAGUUUUUUAACAUAAUUUAUUUAUUUAAGUCAAUUGUUCAUUAAAAUUCAUUUAAUAUUUAAUAUUAAUAUUUAACUACACGCCUGGAAAUUGCAAAUUUCGAUUAAUUCUGGACUUAUGAAUAGAUACUCAAAUGAUUCUAAAAUCGAUUAUCUAAACGAUUUUCAUGAAACAAGACAACUAUGAAACAUAAUCGAUCUAUUAUUGUUGAAAUAAUUUCGAAGCGAGAUGGAUUUUGUUCUAAGUCUCAUUUCUGCACAAUAAAUUUCAAUAUUCUUUGAGACCAAGGAUGAUGACUACACAAAUUAUCCAUAAUCAUGAUAACGAUAACAUUGGAAUAUGGAGACGAAAUAAAGAUGUGAAAUCGAAUGUGAUAAAUGGACGAUCGAGGUCAUAAGGAGAGAAUUAUAUACGAUUAAAAGAUUAAAUCGAUGAAGAAUUAAAUGUGAUUACAAUUGAACAAUUGAUACUUUUUAUGGUUCUUUAUUGAUUAAAGAUUAUGAUACGAUAAUAUGAAAAAUUAAAAAAAAUUUUAAUCUCAUUAUAUUGGAAUAUGAAUCAGAAUUUUGUGAUAUGAGUGAAAUUGAUUCUAUUUUUUUGAGAUUAGAGAAGAAACUCGCAUUAAUAUAUUUUCUUAUCUUACACAAUUAAAUUAUGAGAUUUUAGAAGUUAUAAUAAGAUUUAAUAUAAAUAAAAUUUUACAAGUAUACAAAAACAUGUUUAUAACCUAUAAUUUGUAAUUUUUUAAUUCAUCAAUAUUAUUAAUAGAUUGGAUAAAAGCAAAAUUUUUUCUUUUUAUUUCUUAUUUAUUUUUUAUUUCAAAAAAUAAUAGAGUUUCUUUUGUUAAAUUUUCUUUUAUUUAUUUUAUUUAUUUAAAAAAAUUAUCUUUUAUUAUAUUAAAAAAAAUUAUAUAUUUUUAUUUGAUUAUUCAGUCUAAUUUCAUUACUGUUUCAAAAAUUAUUUAUUUAUAAUAAAAAAAAAUAUACUAAAUUUUAAAAAUCUUAUAAUUUCAUUUAAUUAAAAAUAAAUAAAAUAUAAUUUUUAUAAAAUUAACAAAAAGUUAGAAAAAUCUGACUAAAAAAUUUUUAGCUUUCCUCAUUUUUAGCCCAACAUGAAUUGCCCCGUACUAAUGAGUGUCUUAAAGAUACCGGAAGUCGAGAACUAGGAAAAAAACCUACGACUUUCGCGAGAAGCUUUAACGAGGUAAACGUGCAAACACCCCAGGUGACGAAUUCAUUUCUACAUUUGCAUGAGCAAGAGAUAUUGAAAAAAGAUGGAUUAUACUAAAGAUCUACACUCGAAGAAUAAUAAUUUCAAAGAAUAAAGAAUCGUGACCAUGAUAGACUUCCUGCUUCCUGUUUCGAUUCACUCUUCACGAAUGUAUCAUGUCAUUCGAUUCAUUAAAACCCUGAGUGUGAAUCGAGGGAUAUUUUGAAAACAAAGAAUUAUUGACGUUGUGAAAAACAUACGACUUUAUCCGUAAAAGUGCGUUGAAAUUGAUACUGGGAACGCAUUUAUGUGAACGAUCCCGUCCUGAAAACGGAUGCGCAUUGUCAUCAAUGACAUUCGACGAAUAACAAUAAUGACUUCCACAACGCAAAAACAGGAUUAAAAAAAAGAAAAGAGAAGAUAGAAAAGAAAAAAAUAUGAAAUGUGUCAGAAUCGAUGCGCAAGAUACCAGGAUUAUUAUUUUAGUGCAAAACAUUUUUGCAUAAAGAAUUGGAAAUCGGAUCGAAAACAAAAAUGGAGGAUCGUAUGAUCGAAGAUGAAUCUUUGAUUAAAAAAAAAUAUAUAUUCAAAUAAAAAUUUGAAAUAUUAAAAAAAAAUCUGAGAAAGAAUAUGAAAAAUUCAUUUUUAUUUAGUACUUUUAUAUUUCUUGUUUUUCUUCAUAAGCAAUUUAGACAAAAUGCAAAAAAAGACUAGAAGGUCUCAUGAAAAAAAAAUUCACACGAUAAGAUUUACACGAAUCAUAUAAUUUAUGACAAUUAAUUCUAUACAACGACAAGAUUCGUAUACAUUUGCUUCCGCGGUUUGUAUAUGUUUCUCAUUAGCACGAAAUAAUAUUCUUUCAAUAACGAGAAGGCGCCGGAUGAGUCACGGAGGAGGUUCGACGACCGACGCGCCACAGCGCGGCGUAGCUUGGCCUUUAUGCGAAGCCAAACGAUGGAGGAAGCAAAGGACUCUAUGGCUAUUAAAAGAAACGCGGUAAAUUAGAGUAAGGGAAUGUCGACGAGGGAUGCAACGACACAAUGGAGAAUUUACGACCUGGACGUUUUGCUAUUUUCUACCUUCAUGGGAUAUACAAGGCCAAUGCAAUUUACUGAACUGCCAGAUGACUAAGAAGCGCGGGAAGAAUUCGUAAUGAAAGAUGCGCGCGCAAGAUUCUUUGUAAAGGGGUGUAAAAACAAAUUUUAACGUCAACUCAUGACACGAUAGAAAUUAAAAGAAGAAAACGGGCAAAGAAAAAAGGGGUAAAAGGAAUAACGAUGGAUAUUUAGGAUGGAGCAUUGGCGCGAACCAUAAAGGGAACCACUUGAAAGAAGAAGAAGAAGAAGAAGACGAAGAAGACGAAGGAGAACAUCUUCUGAAGAGUACUUGAGAUUUACGAGAAAAUAGAGCGUGAUUCUGGAACUACGGUUGGUUGGAUUUUUAUGAGACUUACGGUACUAAGGAGAAGUGUAAUGCUAUGCGAUGAAACUUUGUUCGCUUUUUUUUCUCCCUUUUCUUUGAUUCUUUUUUUUAUUUCUAUUUUAAAUUGAUAUAAUUACGAAUAGUGAAUUAAGUAUACAAGCAUCAGAAGUGAAGAUUUGCAUAAUUUAAUAAUUCAAUCUUUGAAGAUUUAUAUUAAGGUUAAUGAUAAAUGUAAUAAGUAUUAAAAUUGAAUUUUAUUUUUGAUAUGGUUCUCUUUUUAAUUUAAAUAAAAAUAACUAUAAUAAAUAUUUUAAUAAAUAUUAUAAUUUAGAAAAAUUUUAUUUUUUAUUAAUUUUAUUUAAAUUUAUGAAAAAGUUUUUUAGUAACUAACUAUAACUAUAUUAAUAAAUAUGUUUGUUAGAUAAACAAA